UGCAGUCGAGCGAACAGAUGAGAAGCUUGCUUCUCUGAUGUUAGCGGCGGACGGGUGAGUAACACGUGGGUAACCUACCUAUAAGACUGGGAUAACUCCGGGAAACCGGGGCUAAUACCGGAUAAUAUUUUGAACCGCAUGGUUCAAUAGUGAAAGACGGUUUCGGCUGUCACUUAUAGAUGGACCCGCGCCGUAUUAGCUAGUUGGUAAGGUAAUGGCUUACCAAGGCGACGAUACGUAGCCGACCUGAGAGGGUGAUCGGCCACACUGGAACUGAGACACGGUCCAGACUCCUACGGGAGGCAGCAGUAGGGAAUCUUCCGCAAUGGGCGAAAGCCUGACGGAGCAACGCCGCGUGAGUGAUGAAGGUCUUCGGAUCGUAAAACUCUGUUGUUAGGGAAGAACAAAUUUGUUAGUAACUGAACAAGUCUUGACGGUACCUAACCAGAAAGCCACGGCUAACUACGUGCCAGCAGCCGCGGUAAUACGUAGGUGGCAAGCGUUAUCCGGAAUUAUUGGGCGUAAAGCGCGCGUAGGCGGUUUCUUAAGUCUGAUGUGAAAGCCCACGGCUCAACCGUGGAGGGUCAUUGGAAACUGGGAAACUUGAGUGCAGAAGAGGAGAGUGGAAUUCCAUGUGUAGCGGUGAAAUGCGCAGAGAUAUGGAGGAACACCAGUGGCGAAGGCGGCUCUCUGGUCUGUAACUGACGCUGAUGUGCGAAAGCGUGGGGAUCAAACAGGAUUAGAUACCCUGGUAGUCCACGCCGUAAACGAUGAGUGCUAAGUGUUAGGGGGUUUCCGCCCCUUAGUGCUGCAGCUAACGCAUUAAGCACUCCGCCUGGGGAGUACGACCGCAAGGUUGAAACUCAAAGGAAUUGACGGGGACCCGCACAAGCGGUGGAGCAUGUGGUUUAAUUCGAAGCAACGCGAAGAACCUUACCAAAUCUUGACAUCCUUUGACCGCUCUAGAGAUAGAGUCUUCCCCUUCGGGGGACAAAGUGACAGGUGGUGCAUGGUUGUCGUCAGCUCGUGUCGUGAGAUGUUGGGUUAAGUCCCGCAACGAGCGCAACCCUUAAGCUUAGUUGCCAUCAUUAAGUUGGGCACUCUAGGUUGACUGCCGGUGACAAACCGGAGGAAGGUGGGGAUGACGUCAAAUCAUCAUGCCCCUUAUGAUUUGGGCUACACACGUGCUACAAUGGAUAAUACAAAGGGCAGCGAAUCCGCGAGGCCAAGCAAAUCCCAUAAAAUUAUUCUCAGUUCGGAUUGUAGUCUGCAACUCGACUACAUGAAGCUGGAAUCGCUAGUAAUCGUAGAUCAGCAUGCUACGGUGAAUACGUUCCCGGGUCUUGUACACACCGCCCGUCACACCACGAGAGUUUGUAACACCCGAAGCCGGUGGAGUAACCUUUUAGGAGC
rnacentral:rRNA from 1 species